rnacentral:pre_miRNA from 1 species
UGUGUCCGAAUCUUGGCACUGGAAGAAUUCACAGAUUGCUUUAUAAUCGUGAUUCUUUUAUUGCCACACUUCGUGCAUA